rnacentral:rRNA from 1 species
GUGCACGCUGGCGGUAGGCCUAACACAUGCAAGUCGAGCGGCAGCACAGUAAGAGCUUGCUCUUACGGGUGGCGAGUGGCGGACGGGUGAGGAAUACAUCGGAAUCUACUUUUUCGUGGGGGAUAACGUAGGGAAACUUACGCUAAUACCGCAUACGACCUACGGGUGAAAGCAGGGGAUCUUCGGACCUUGCGCGAUUGAAUGAGCCGAUGUCGGAUUAGCUAGUUGGCGGGGUAAAGGCCCACCAAGGCGACGAUCCGUAGCUGGUCUGAGAGGAUGAUCAGCCACACUGGAACUGAGACACGGUCCAGACUCCUACGGGAGGCAGCAGUGGGGAAUAUUGGACAAUGGGCGCAAGCCUGAUCCAGCCAUACCGCGUGGGUGAAGAAGGCCUUCGGGUUGUAAAGCCCUUUUGUUGGGAAAGAAAAGCAGCAGGUUAAUACCCCGCUGUUCUGACGGUACCCAAAGAAUAAGCACCGGCUAACUUCGUG